GGGCCAGUGGCGCAGAUGGGAGCGCGCGUGAAUGGCAUUCACGAGGUCACCGGUUCGAUCCCGGUCUGGUCCACCA
rnacentral:tRNA from 1 species